rnacentral:rRNA from 1 species
UACGUAGGGUGCGAGCGUUGUCCGGAAUUAUUGGGCGUAAAGAGCUUGUAGGCGGUUUGUCGCGUCUGCUGUGAAAAUCCGGGGCUCAACCCCGGACUUGCAGUGGGUACGGGCAGACUAGAGUGUGGUAGGGGAGACUGAAAUUCCUGGUGUAGCGGUGAAAUGCGCAGAUAUCAGGAAGAACACCGAUGGCGAAGGCAGGUCUCUGGCCACUACUGACGCUGAGAAGCGAAAGCAUGGGGAGCGAACAGG